CUAAGAGUUCAGAGUUUCUAAUUUGCAUAAGUUAGACAAAGACUUUAGCGCGAACUGAGUCUGAUUGUACAUUUAAACACGGUCGUAAUUGGUACAAUUACGUUCAAAGGUACAAUUGAACUCCGUAAACAAUUGAAUUGUGUGGAUUGACCCGGGGCUCAUCAUACCGAGUUGUGCAUUAACACGAGGCACUGGAUACCACCAGCAAAGUGAAAAGAAAACAAGUGACGUUUUAUGCAAUGUACAUGACGGUAUACCUGAGUAAGACAGCUUUAUGUAAGAAAACACAGCCUUUUUGUUGACUAGCAGUUAAAUGAAGAUUUUAAACGGGCUGUGUCACCCCAUGUCACUUCUUGUCAUGCUCUUCUAAAGGGUAAUAAAAAUCUUAAUUUUCCCAACGUUUUUUUCCUUUUUAGGUUGUGGAAGAUAUUGACAGCGAGACGGUUGGAGAGAACCUUUCAGACAUUGUGCCUGGUUUAAUUAGGUGUUAUGAUCAUGUGGAGAGCAGUGUCCGUAAAGCUAGUGUGUUUUGUCUUGUGGCGAUUCACAGUUCAGUCGGUGAGGAGACCCUAAUGCCACAUUUGGCCGAGCUAUCUGGGACAAAGAUGAAAUUGCUCAAUCUCUACAUCAAGAGGUCCCAGUCCGGAAUCGGUGGGCGUCGUCCGUGAGAGUCUUGUGACGAGUUAUGAAGAUAUUCACUUACAGUCUCCGUUGAGAGAUGGAAAGUUCUCUAAGAGACCGAGCCACUCAAAUUGGCGAUCGCUAAUCACGGUGUUUCUACGUGUAACAAAGGUCCUACCCGGCACAGAAGCGUCGCUUAGUCUCCUCGGUUCAAGACUGUACUUGGUCUCCUGCCAAAAAUGUGGUUCUUUAGUUGAGAAUAAUGUUUCGGUGAAACCAUGAAUCCGCCCAAACGUUAAGAUAUUGUCAAGUCUGCCGAGUCAGUUGCCGAUUUCUAAACACAUUGUGCAGCCUGUCAGUACGUGUUAAUCGUGAUCCAGGCUCUCUGAAAAGUUCUUUCACCAUUGCUGUUAACAGGAGUUUUCCUUUCUGGUAUUGUUAAAUCGCUCCGCGCCGAUCAGCACAAGGACUUGGCGAUUGUAUACAAGGAGAGAGUUGUUUUUCCAGAAGCAACUGAGUUAGAAAUGGGCCUACAAAGAAAAAAAAAAAAAAUCAAGAUUAGAAUUGUAAACUAUUAUUGAACAAGGCCCAAAUGUAUUGCCACCGAGAUCUUUUAAUUUGCCAGCAUUUUAUCUUGUUAACUUUGUACAUUUUUUAUCGUUUUCAUUUUGUAUUAUGACUUUGUUUUCUUGUUGUUUCUGAAGUACAGAGACAAAUCUAAUUCCUGAUAUUGCCACCAAGCGUUGAAAUUGGAAGCAAUGCUCCACUAAAGAGGCACUUCAUCGUUACAAAUAUUUGCGUGACUUGCGUUUUUUUAGAGAUUAGCGUGGCGCAAAUCCUUGAGUGAGGUUGUCACGCAACCCUGCAUCGGAUCUAGGCAAAGGCCAUGUAUGUGCCCGCUGUAGGUAUGAUUUUGCUUGUGAGAUAAGGAAUAAUAUAUUUAUUUUUAAAAUAGACUUCCUUUGGGCGCAAUAAAUAUCGUAUUGUUUUAUGUGUGAAGUAAUGACCUAGACCGUAGGUACAUUGUAACGAUCUUUAUAAAGAUGGGUAAUUCCGACCUCUGUCAGGAAACUUACAGUCGAAAACAGCAAAACCAUUAAAAAUCUUGCGAAGUAAAAAAAA